rnacentral:rRNA from 1 species
GACGUAGGAGGCGAGCGUUGUCCGGAUUCAUUGGGCGUAAAGAGCACGCAGGCGGUUUGGCAAGUCGGAUGUGAAAACCCGGAGCUCAACUCCGGACCUGCAUCCGAAACUGCCCGACUAGAGGUAGGUAGGGGAGAUCGGAAUUCCUGGUGUAGCGGUGGAAUGCGUAGAUAUCGGGAGGAACACCAGUGGCGAAGGCGGCUUCCUGGACCGGUUCUGACGCUGAGGCGCGACAGCGUGGGGAGCAAACAGG